UAUAACUUUAAUAUUUGAAUGAAAAUAUAUUGAAUUAACUAUCCAAGUCUCAUUAAUGACCUUUCUUGUUGAUACUUUUAUUCAUUUGUCUGCUUUAUCAGGAAUGGGUGAACAAAAUGCUCUCCCAUUCCUGAUCAAUUUCAUCAAACAUCUAUUUGAUGUGUACAAUUAUCAUGAAGUCUAUGUUGAAUCAUCCACAAUCCUCUGACCAUCGGACCAUGAGGCCCUUUGCUGGGAUAACUACAAAUACAUUUUUAAAAUUGAGUAAUUCAAAUAAGCGUUCUGUCUUUAUAUAUGACGUACAUACAUCUUAAGGAAAAUGCAAUACUCUACCUUUCUCCUCCAAAGACUGUUUGAGACUGUAUCCUAAACGCCCUACCUACUGUACACAUGAAAGUAAAAUAGACCAUCACAACAACUGUAGUAAGUCAAAGCUUUGAUGGAAAAUCUUACUCCACCCCCAUGCUACUGGAACGACCCCGCAUGGCUGUGAUUUUUGACCAACAUCCAACGCAAGGCGCAUUGUAUUGCAUCCACUUUUGGAAGGUGGUUAAAUGUCAGAGUUUAUUUGGCACUGUUGCUCAGCACACCUUUGUGUGAAAUCUAACCAGCUCUGCAUCAGUGAGUACCACUCUUCAUAUUUUCCCGCAGGUUGGAUCAUGUGGGUAUUCCUGUCAUUGGCAAGGACUGGGGAGGUUUUUGUUCUUCAUCAAUGAAACGAAAUAGAGCUGUGCUCAGGAAAAAUACGAGAGGGUCCUGGUUCAAUCUGUUUGUCUGUAGACACCGGAAGAUAAAUUCACAGACGGUUACACAGGACACAGGGCCAAAUCUACAGUCAUUGCUUUGUAGGUGUGAGAACUCCCUACAAACUUACCAAAAAGAAUCACCUUUCAUUUUAUAUUACUUUGUCGUUAGAGAAUGUUUCUUGGAUAAUGAAGACCAGUGCAUUUUUAUUUUUAUUGUAAUGCAACAAAAUGUGGGGGGAAAAAUCAAGGGUUGAAUACUUUUCAAAGGCACAAUAUGUAAUUUACUGUACCAGUUAACAUUUUUGUUAUGUUUGAGAACUGUGGAGGAUCUCUGGAUUUUGUACCAUCAAUGUGAUUCCAACAUGAAUUCACCUUUAUUAUUCUCUUGGUCAAGAUGGACGGUGUACUGUGACUGUUCCUACCUGUGGUGAUAUUUUUGGUUAGAAAACACUCGCCUAAAGUAGUGUAAUACAUAUGAUGGGAUAAUACUGUACAUUGAAUCUUUUAUAUGUUUUGCCAUGUAACUACUGCAUUACAAUCAUUUUGAUACACUUUAUUUCUUUAUUCCAAUUUAUUUGUGAGGGAGGGAUCUGUUUUUUGUCUUAUUUUUUUUUUAAACAUCUGUAAUAAAUUACACAAAACCUUG
ensembl:lncRNA